UACAGAGGGUGCAAGCGUUAAUCGGAAUUACUGGGCGUAAAGCGUGCGUAGACGGUCAUGUAAGUCGGGUGUGAAAGCCCCGGGCUCAACCUGGGAAUUGCAUUCGAGACUGCGUGGCUAGGGUGCGGAAGAGGGAAGCGGAAUUUCCGGUGUAGCGGUGAAAUGCGUAGAUAUCGGAAGGAACACCAGUGGCGAAAGCGGCUUCCUGGUCCAGCACCGACGUCAGGCACGAAAGCGUGGGGAGCAAACAGG
rnacentral:rRNA from 1 species